CACCGGAAGUGAGGCAUGAAACCACAAGUGAGGCUGAAACCGCAGUGAGAAGGAGCAGCUCUGAGCCCUCGCUGCAGCCCUCCGGGGGCCUCACCGCCCAGAAGCCACCCUUCCUGUCUUUCCUCCUGUCACAGCCCUGAUUUUACUCGGAGUCAGUGAAACCCCUUACUCCGCUAGGAGGCACGCUCUCUCACCUCAUGUGCAGGAGAUAAACUACGGCUGGAGUGAGCAGUCGUGGGCUCCCCUCUGCCAGGGCUCGGCCCGAGGCCCAUCCAUGGCCUAGUUCUGACCAGCAGCUGUGAGAGAGAGUUGAUAGACAGGAAAACAAAUGGGAAUCAAGCAGCCUACUUCCUGUCAGGGUGCUGAUGAAGAGAAGCGUCAAUAAACAGAACAGUCUCCUGAGCUGCUGGCUCGCAGUCCCGUGCAGGAAGUGGAAUAAAGCGGAUCCUGACCCA